UUUCCGCAGGUGAACCUGCGGAAGGAUCAUUAUUGUAUAACCGAGGUGCGAGGGCUGUCGCUGACCCGAAAGGUCGUGCACGCCCGAGUGCCCUCACACACAUCCAUCUCACCCCUAUGUGCACCACCGCGUGGGUCCCCCUUUGGCUUGUUCGGAGGGGGGCUUACGUUUUCACACAAACUUUGUAUGCAGUGUAGAAUGUAUUUUUUGUUCUUGCGAUCACGCAAUCAAUACAACUUUCAACAACGGAUCUCUUGGCUCUC
rnacentral:misc_RNA from 1 species